rnacentral:rRNA from 1 species
AUUGAACUCUGGCGGCAGACCUACCACAUGCAAGUCGCACGAGUGGCGUCAGGGUGUGUAUUGUCUGGGCAACUGCCUGAGGUAGGGUGCUAACUGCUGGAAACGGUAGCUAAUACCGCAUACCCUCGGAUGUGCCCAGAUUGGAUUAGCGAGUAGGUGGGGUAAAGGCACACCUAGGCGACGAUUCCUAGCUGGUCUGAGAGGAUGACCAGCCACACGGGAACUGAGACACGGUCCAGACUCCGACGGGAGGCAGCAGUGGGGAAUAGUGAACAAGGGGAGAAAGCCUGAGGCAGCCAUGCCGCGUGUAUGAAGAAGGCCUUCGGGUGGUAAAGUACUUUCAGCGGGGAGGCGUUACCCGCAGAAGAAGCACCGGCUAACUCCGUGACAGCAGCCGCGGUAAUAC